rnacentral:siRNA from 1 species
CGUCAAAAUAGUUGGAGUCGAUGC